AGGACGAACGCUGGCGGCGUGCUUAACACAUGCAAGUCGAGCGAGGCCCGUCCUUCGGGACGGUGCCCUAGCGGCGAACGGGUGAGUAACACGUGGGCAACCUGCCCCUAGCACUGGGAUAACUCCGGGAAACCGGGGCUAAUACCGGAUAUGACCUCCGAGGGCAUCCUCGGUGGUGUAAAGGAUUCUGGCUAGGGAUGGGCCCGCGGCCUAUCAGCUUGUUGGUGGGGUAAUGGCCUACCAAGGCGACGACGGGUAGCCGGCCUGAGAGGGCGACCGGCCACACUGGGACUGAGACACGGCCCAGACUCCUACGGGAGGCAGCAGUGGGAAUAUUGCACAAUGGGCGAAAGCCUGAUGCAGCGACGACCGCGUGAGGGAUGACGGCCUUCGGGUUGUAAACCUCUUUCAGCAGGGACGAAGGCGAAAGUGACGGUACCUGCAGAAGAAGCACCGGCCAACUACGUGCCAGCAGCCGC
rnacentral:rRNA from 1 species